rnacentral:rRNA from 1 species
GAGUUUGAUCUUGGCUCAGGAUGAACGCUAGCGACAGGCUUAACACAUGCAAGUCGAGGGGCAGCGGUGGUGAAGGCUUGCCUUUACCAGCCGGCGACCGGCGCACGGGUGAGUAACACGUAUGCAACCUGCCUGCCACAGCCGGAUAAUCGGGAGAAAUCCCGUCUAAUACGGCAUAAUGCAUCGACGGGACAUCCUGUUGGUGCCAAAGGUUAAUUCCGGUGGCGGAUGGGCAUGCGUCGCAUUAGUUAGUUGGCGGUGUAACGGACCACCAAGACGACGAUGCGUAGGGGUUCUGAGAGGAAGGUCCCCCACACUGGUACUGAGACACGGACCAGACUCCUACGGGAGGCAGCAGUGAGGAAUAUUGGUCAAUGGGCGGGAGCCUGAACCAGCCAAGUCGCGUGAGGGAUGACGGCCCUAUGGGUUGUAAACCUCUUUUGCCGGGGAGCAAAGUGCCGCACGUGUGCGGUUUGGAGAGUACCCGGAGAAAAGCAUCGGCUAACUCCGUGCCAGCCG